rnacentral:rRNA from 1 species
UGGCGGCAAACGGCGAACGGGUGAUUAACACAUCGGAACGUGUCCUAUGGUGGGGGAUAACCUGGCGAAAGCCAGGCUAAUACCGCAUGGGCUCGGAAGAGGAAAGCGGGGGCUCGCAAGACCUCCCGCCUUUGGAGCGGCCAAUGUCCGAUUAUCUAGUUGGUGGGGUAAAGGUCUACCAAGGCGACCAUCGGUAGCUGGUCUGAGAGGAUGAUCAGCCUCCCUGGGACUGAGACACGGCCCAGACUCCUACGGGAGGCAGCAGUGGGGAAUUUUGGACAAUGGGGGCAACCCUGAUCCAGCCAUGCCCCGUGAGUGGAGAAGGCCUUCGGGUUGUAAAGCUCUUUCGGUGGGAACGAAACGGGUAGCGCUCAUACCGCUGCUCAAUGACGGUACUCACAGAAGAAGCACCGGAGAACUACGUGCCAGCAGCCGCGGUAAUACGUAGGGUGCGAGCGUUGAUCGGAAUUACUGGGAGUAAAGCGUGUUCCGGCGGUGCAUCAAGCUUGAUGUGAAAGCCCCGGGCUUAACCUCGGAAUUGCAGUUAGUACUGGUGCGCUAGAUUGCGGUAGAGGGGGGUGGAAUUCCAUGUGUAGCAGUGAAAUGAGUAGAGAUGUGGAGGAACACCGAUGGCGAAGGCAGCCCCUUGGGCAGACACUGACGCUCAUGCAUGAAAGCGUGGGGAGCAAACAGGAUCAGAUAUCCUGGUAGUACACGCCCUAUACGAUGUAGAAUGGUUGUUGGGGGAGGCAACUUCCUUAGUAAAGAAGCUAACGCGUGAAGUCGACCGCCUGGGGAGUA